CAACUUUUGUCAGGAGGACAAGUAAUUUCUUUGAGAUAUCCUCCAAAGUAUAAGAUAAAACAAGAUACUUCAUAGAUUUUACAAGGGAAGAUGACAGAAGGCAGCAGAGUUACUCCUCCCACUGGGGAGCUACUUCAUCCAAAACACAGGAGAGAGAGGUUCAAGUUGCAGUAGCCUGCACAGCUGAAUGAGAACACUGCUGAUGAUCUGUAGGAGCCAGAAGCUGCUUGAAGAUCUCCCCUCAAGGCUUGCUGCUUAAAUAAAGG